rnacentral:rRNA from 1 species
CCUACGGGCGGCAGCAGUAGGGAAUAUUGCUCAAUGGGGGCAACCCUGAAGCAGCAACGCCGCGUGGAGGAUGAAGGUUUUCGGAUUGUAAACUUCUUUUGUUAGGGAAGAUAAUGACGGUAUCUAACGAAUAAGCACCGGCUAACUCCGAGCCAGCAGCCGCGGUAAUACGGAGGGUGCAAGCGUUAUUCGGAAUCACUGGGCGUAAAGGGCGCGUAGGCGGGAUAGCAAGUCAGAUGUGAAAUCCUAUGGCUUAACCAUAGAACUGCAUUUGAAACUGUUAGUCUAGAGUAUGGGAGAGGUAGGUGGAAUUCUUGGUGUAGGGGUGAAAUCCGUAGAGAUCAAGAGGAAUACUCAUUGCGAAGGCGACCUGCUAGACCAUAACUGACGCUGAUGCGCGAAAGCGUGGGGAGCAAACAGGAUUAGAUACCCGAGUAGUC